CUUUCCUUCCCUCCCUCCUGCAUUUCAAGGAAGAAUAAAUUAACAGUUUUCUUUUUCUGCUUCCCUAGAGAAAAAUAAGAAUAAAUGUGAAAUAUUCAGAUGUUUGCAUUUAUACUCUAUAGCCUGUCAAAACAAAAAUGAGCAAAAAAAGGACAUGUUUAUUUCCACAGACGGCUUCAUCCUAACCUCAGCAGUUUCGACCUGAUAGGACAAAAAAACCCCUAAAUCUACAAACAUGCUUGGGUGCUUCUUUGCUCUCUGGUGUAAUUUUCCACAAGUCUGUGAGGGAGUGUGUUUAUUCCAAUCUCCCAUCUGGGUAAACUGGUGACUAAAGACAAGAAGUACCCUGCCUGCGGGGCCACAGAGAAAGAAGAGCCGGUUUCAAACCUAAGUGCUUGGGAUUGGUGUUCACCCUUCUGCCCCAGGGACCUAGUGGCCCCCUUCAAAUAGCCUGCACAGGCGAGGGUAAUCCAAGAACAGGAUCAAUGUCAGGAGGUUCCAGUGAAAACUUGCAGAUCUUCAGACGACGACGUCGCUGGACUAGCAAAACACAAUGGACUAUUUGGCCUUUGAAGUUCUGAGCGUGUCUGAGCGCUUCCACACUCAGGGAACCAGAAUGCCUCUGCCUGCCACUGACCCUGGUCCCAGGCCCCACCAGAAGGAAGCUCUUUUGUUGGAGGCUUUGCCCUGUGCAUCUCUUCAUCUGGCUGUUGCUCUACCAUCUGACUCACAGCAAGCUGUGCUCUGGCCUGGGCCUCCACGGUUUGCUCCCCAUCUAUCGGCUGUUGCACCCUCAGUUCUAAGCACCUCUUCAUGAAGAAUGUAGUGUGUGUCAUGGACAUACACACUGAAAUAUUCAUCAAUGAAUCAGUAUAAUGUCUCCAGCUUACAACUUACUCUCAAAUGGUCUAGACAAAAAAGCAUCUAUCUAUCGUCUACAAAAGAGCAAGCAAGACAGAUUGAAUGACAGAGCAAAUGUGGUAAGAUGGUGACACUUGGGAAUCUGGGUUAAGGGUACGCAGAAAUACUUUAUAUUAUUUUUUAACUUGUUCAUAAAACUAAAACACAUUAUAAAUUAUAAAAUAUGUUAAAAAAUAAAGAAUAUAGGUUUUAGGGUGGCUGGUGGGAAAUAUAAUUCAGUGUUCACACUUCAACAUUAUUUCAUGCUAAAUUAUAUUUACCUUUGCAGGAUGAAGCACAGUGCAUUCUUAGAAAGGUUUAACAAUUUCAUACCUUCCUGCCCCCUCACACACAUAGUAGAAGUGAGCUAUUUAACACAGGUCCAGAAAAGAAAGAAGGAAAGGGGAAAGGACAGAGAGAUAAAGAGAGGGAGGGGGAAAGAUAUGAGCCCGAGAACUUCCCUGGCUGGCUGGGAGCCUUUGAAUGUGCCUGGAUGGGAAAGUUCAGCUGAUGCUUACAAACUGUGACCUGAAGCCCCUUCAUGAUCGGCCUGCCUGGACUGAAUGCAGCUGUUCAACACUCCGGUCUUGGCAGCUCAGAGAUCACUGAGAUCUAGUCUGGUGGCUGAAUUCUAGCUCUGUCUUCUUUUUCUCACACCACACUAAAAUAAAGAAAGGACUUCAACUGCCAAGACAUGAAGGGGUAGGAUCGAUACCCAAAAACGACGACACCCCUGCCAACUGGAGAAUGAUGCCAUGAGGUAUGCGGGAAGAAUGAACACUGGCACCAUGCUAGACAGGUGGCAAACGGAUUUGUGCAAACUCCCGGAACGAUUCUAAUACUUCACUUUAUGGAUAUCUGCUCAGUGUUAAAGCUCUGGAAGAGUACCAAGUACCACAAAGCUCACAAUUUUUCCUUGCUAGACAAUUUCUUUAUUAGAUAGCAAAAAU